CCCAUAUAAAAACUCCCUAUUGACAGUCUAUUGCCCAUCCUUCACUUAGUUUUUGUUUUCUUCUCAUUCGUUGCUCUUGCUCUUCCUCUUCCCCUUCUUCAAACCUCACAGAAAAUCCACCUCCACGAAUCUCACCUAACUCCAUAUCCUCUUAGUUAUAUCUUCCAUCUCUAUCUUUUCUUGUCUUCUCUCUCUCGUUCUCACCCACGAUGAUGGAAACUGUCACCUCCUCAGAAACCCUAACCCACAUCAGCGAUGGCGACCUCACCCUUUCUCUUUCGGCCGCCCUUCUUCACCUCCAUCUCUCACUCUCUGUCACCUUUUUUGACUGCCAUUCUUCCCCUCCGAUUCAACAAAUUUCUCAAUUUUUCUCAGCUUUCCUGAAAUCCAUGGCAUCUCAGGUUGUUGCAGGCCGAUGCCAUAAACCAUAUCAGUUAUAAGGCGAGAAAAAAGAGUUCUUUGAUGACCGGGAAGAGUGUACAGAGGCAUUGUAGUAUGACAGCCAUCAUCAUUCAGUGUUUUAGAUUUAGGCUUACCUAUGAGCUAUUGCUAGGCUUAUUGCCUUAACUUUUGGUUGUUGUUGGUGUUAGUGCUUCAUGAGUUUGCUAUCUUUUUAAGAAGGCCAUGGAAAAUGCACCUUGCAUAUUUGUUGAUGAAAUUGUUGU